ensembl:lncRNA
CCCCUUCAGAUUCCCUUAUAAUCUUUAAGGGGUGAGCUCAUGUUGCAAGCUUCUCCUUCAGUCAUGGUGCUUCUGGCUGCUCUUCUCACAAUCAUCUCCUUUUAAAAAACUUAUGGCGACAUUCAUCAUACUGUUUGACUUUAUGUGUAAGAUUGGGGAAAGAUUUAAAAGGGAGACAGAGAGAUAUAUAUAGAUACAGAUAGAUACACACAACGUAAGUAGAUGUUUUAUGUGAGAUGGAAGCCCUGUUCUUUCAGAGAGCAGACGAAGACCCAUGAGACCAACAAGCAGAGAUGCAGGAAUGCACAGUUCUGAUCAGUUGGAUGGAGAGAGUCCCCAUAUAGGAUCAUGGCAUAGAUCCAAUUGCUUAGUUCUUGCUCAAAUGACUUUCAGAUACUGUUUUCAACCAUGACCAUACAAGGGUGACUCCCUUUUCCUUGUUUGGGGAUUUGAGUUUUCUCUUGUUGUUUCUUUGUCAUUGUGUUGUGUUGUUUUUUAGUGUUUUUUUGUUUUUUUUUUUUUUCCUUUUCAAAGCUCAAGUCCUGAAAGGAUUUAAACAGAUCUUAAACCCUAAACCUGCGAAUAUUCUUACUGGUCCCAGUGGGGAAACAAUACAGAAUCCAUCCUUGCUGGAGGAAGGACAUGGCCAGCUCUUGGUGUAACACCUAAGUCAAGAAGGUUCUCGCUAUAUCUGGAACUCUGAGAAGUUUUCACAAUAUAACCAGGUGACAUCCAGAGCUCUCUUCUGUGAGUGUAUUCCCUGCUGAUGACUUUACUGGACUGCUCAUCUACAAAGUGGAACACCAUCAAUAUUCAACCGUUGUCCUAAGGUCAGUCUGUAUGGUCAGACAUAUAGUUGCUGCAUCUGUCCUGUAAGUAUUCUGAAAGACCACAUUCUGUAUCUUCUCUUGAAGUUGAACCUGGACUGAAAAGUCCUGGGAUCAGAAAAAGGUAAGUGAUGAACAGAGACAUAUGGUUGGUUGCAGGGCAGAGCUUGCACUUUAUGGUAGACCUUCACUGGGUGAAAACAACAACACAGCUUGGGCUUCUGACAGUAGUAUCAAUCUCUACAUAAGCCCUCUCUACACUAGGCAAAAUGUAGGUUUCACUCCUGUUUUCAGCAUCCAAAUGUUGUAAACUUCAGUGGAAGGUAGACUGAGUGGAUUCCCAGUUGGGAUCUCAAGUAGGGUUUAAAUAUCUUGCGCAGUGACUGAGUAGAUCCAGCUGGUAGUAUGUAUCAGAGGUGUUUUAUUCAUCACCUAAACUAAUAAACUCUUUCCACAGAUGCUGUGAUAGCUCAUAGCAUCAUCAAGUCUCUGAAAGUGUGGUGCUGUUGUGUCCCUUUUUGGCUGCAUCACUUUUGAAGAGCCAGAAUCCUGCACUGCCUGUCAGCUGAACUACGUUUCCACAAGUUUGCACAUUCCCAGCCCAUCACAAGUCUUAGGAGCUGCUCUCUAUCUCUCUGCAAGCUCACAGCAUAGCAAACAAGCAAGAAAUGUUCAUGGUAUUUCUUCAUGUAGUUGCCUGACACUGUCAGCUGUAGUGGAGGAGCCUCUAAAAUUUGCCUCAGCAGUUGGCAGGGGAAAGCAAGCAAGACACUUUGUCUGGAUAAGCUGAUGAGUGCAAUUGAUUGAAUCUUGAGCUUCUUCCCAGAAAAAAAUAACAAGUUCUAGGCUGUGAAAGACUGAAGUUUUAUGUAUAAAAUAGUUCAACUCAUCUUAGACUCUGAGAACAGAG